GUGCUCACUUCCACAGCACAUAUACUAAAGUUGGAACAAUACAGAGAAGAUUAGCAUGGCCUCUGGGCAAGGAAGACACAACUUUAUUAAGUGUUCCAUAUUUUU
ensembl:snRNA U6 U6 spliceosomal RNA